rnacentral:ncRNA from 1 species
GCAUUCGUUUCUGCGCCUCUUCUUUAAUCAGAGUCUUCACUACGUCCAUAAUAGCCACGGUGAAUCUAUUUUCCGUUGUCAGCUCCGAUCAGGAUCAGUUUAGGCCACCAAGUUGGGACUUAGACACGAGUGGGAAGCUCCUUGGUGAAUCAUAAUAACUUAACCAAUCGCAUGGCCUUGCGCCGGCGAUGGUUCAUUCAAAUUUCUGCCCUAUCAACUCUCGAUGGUAGGAUAGUGGCCUACCAUGGUGGCAACGGGCAACGGGGAAUUAGGGUUCGAUUCCGGAGAGGGAGCCUGAGAAACGGCUACCACAUCCAAGGAAGGCAGC